CAGCAGCCACGGGAAUACGUAGGGUGCAAGCGUUAAUCGGAAUUACUGGGCGUAAAGCGUGCGCAGGCGGUUAUAUAAGACAGAUGUGAAAUCCCCGGGCUCAACCUGGGAACUGCAUUUGUGACUGUAUAGCUAGAGUACGGCAGAGGGGGAUGGAAUUCCGCGUGUAGCAGUGAAAUGCGUAGAUAUGCGGAGGAACACCGAUGGCGAAGGCAAUCCCCUGGGCCUGUACUGACGCUCAUGCACGAAAGCGUGGGGAGCAAACAGGAUUAGAUACCCCGGUAGUCCCUGUCUCUUAUAC
rnacentral:rRNA from 1 species